ensembl:snRNA U4 U4 spliceosomal RNA
CACUCUGCGCAGUGGCAUUAUCGAAACCUUCAAGGUUCAUCCGAGGCGUGGUCAUUGCUAGUUGAAAACUUUACUCAAUGCUUACCUUGAAAAGUGAUGAUGAAAGUAAUCUUUUUGUGAGUAUAAAUGCCUUCUUUCAAAAAAUAAAUCUUUGGAAGAGACAAAUCUUGGAAGAGUCAAUCUGCU